GGGGAUACAGUGGUGAACAAGAGAGGUGAAGUCUGUCCUCAGCAGGAAGAUGAGAAAUCUGCUAUGAUGAGAAAUGUGCUAUUUUGAGAAUUUAAAUGAGCUGAUGGGUUGGUGUAAACAGAUGAAUAAAGUCUUCAAAAAUAAAUAAAUAAAUGAUAAGAAGGAGCUGGCCAUGUGAGAACCAUCGGGAAGGGCAUCCCAGGCAGAGGGAGAGCAGUCCUGGCUUCAAGGGAGUGAUGAUGGACUCAUUCACUUUUUCAUUCAACAAACAUGUGUUCAGCACUGUGCAUCUUCCACAGUGAAGAACAAAGAGAUGACAGUUCCUGGCCCAUGGUGAAAUGCUCCGUGAACUUCAGCAAUUAUUGGUGUCACUACCCAGCUACCCAGCGGUCCGGUGACAUCCACCAAAGCCUUGAAGAGAAAAAAUACUGUAUUUAUGAGAACGACCUGCCUUCCAAAAUGGAACAGAAGAGAAUAGAAAAUGUCAGAACUCAGUGCACAGAGAUAGGAUAAAUAUUACUUCAUGAAAUUUUUGCUUCAGUUCUGAACCUGGGUUAGACUACAUUACAAUGUGAAAAAUAAAUGCUCUGAUUCAUGGUCAAAAUGCUUGAAAUUAUGUGGCUAUAUGUGAUGUUUGAAACCUGUCUUCUUUUUGUUUUUCGUUCUUCUUUUUUGGAAGUCCCAUGUUAAUUACGGCAUAUCCAAAUAUUGAACUUAG